GAUGAACGCUGGCGGCGUGCCUAAUACAUGCAAGUCGAGCGAACAGACGAGGGGCUUGCUUCUCUGACGUUUGCGGCGGACGGGUGAGUAACACGUGGAUCACCUAUCUAUAAGACUGGGAUCACUUCGGGAAACCGGAUCUUAUACCGUAUAAUAUAUUGAACCGCAACAUUCAAUAGUGAAAGGCGGUUUUACUGUUACCUGUUGGUGCAUCGUCGCCGCAUUUGCUUGUUGGUAAGGUAACGUCUUACCAAGACGACGAUUAGUAGCCGACCGGGGAGGGUGAUCGGCCACACUGGAACGGAGACACGGUCAAGACUCCUACGGGAGGCAGCAGUAGGGAAUCUUCCGCAUUGGGCGAAAGCCGGACGGAGCAACGCCGCGUGAGUGAUGAAGGUCUUCGGAUCGUAAAACUCUGUUAUUAGGGAAGAAGAAAUGUGUAAGUAACUAUGCACGUCUUGACGGUACCUAAUCAGAAAGCCACGGCUAACUACGUG
rnacentral:rRNA from 1 species